rnacentral:rRNA from 1 species
AUUGAACGCUGGCGGAAUGCUUUACACAUGCAAGUCGAACGGUAGAGGGGGCAACCCCUCGAGAGUGGCGAACGGGUGAGUAAUAUAUCGGAACGUGCCCAGUCGUGAGGAUAACGUAGCGAAAGUUACGCUAAUACCGCAUACGGUCUAAGGAUGAAAGCGGGGGAUCGCAAGACCUCGCGCGAUUGGAGCGGCCGAUAUCAGAUUAGGUAGUUGGUGGGGUAAAGGCUCACCAAGCCAACGAUCUGUAGCUGGUCUGAGAGGACGACCAGCCACACUGGAACUGAGACACGGUCAAGACUCCUACGGGAGGCAGCAGUGGGGAAUUUUGGACAAUGGACGCAAGUCUGAUCCAGCCAUUCCGCGUGCAGGAUGAAGGCCCUCGGGUUGUAAACUGCUUUUGUACGGAACGAAAAGGUCUCUCUUAAUACGGUGGGCUCAUGACGGUACCGUAAGAAUAAGCACCGGCUAACUACGUGCCAGCCGCCGCAGUAA